UCGCCAAGAGGGGUGUUUUGUACGACAAAGUUUCGUAAUAUUUCGCAUGAAAGGCAGAAAUUUACAGUUGUUGUAUUCACGAGUCUCGGAAUCAAGAAAUGGCGCUUCUGAAAGAAAGUUUAAAUUUUCUACCCAGUCACACUAGAGGUCAACGUUUUCUUGCCUUUACCAGACCUCCCGAUUUUUGGAGAUGUCAAGUUGGAACGUCUGUAUCAUGGCUAUGAUAAACAUCCAAAUAGUGACAUUUCAAAGUUGAAUUAGCUUACUUUGAUUCUAGUAACAGUAUAAAGUUCAUUCAAAGCAUAUCUUUUAUGGUCAGGAAAAACAUUUCGUGACACGAUUCAUCCUGCUAGCUGGGCUGGCCUGGCUCAUAUGAACAACCCCUUUAAGUGUGAGAUUGUCAUUAUUAAGCGAGCAAAACUAUUGUCUGGUGCGAGAUCUGG